rnacentral:rRNA from 1 species
UGGGGAAUAUUGGACAAUGGGCGAAAGCCUGAUCCAGCAAUACCGCGUGUGUGAAGAAGGCCUUCGGGUUGUAAAGCACUUUAAGUUGGGAAGAAAAAACUUUACCUAAUACGUGAAGUCUUGACGGUACCGACAGAAUAAGCACCGGCUAACUCUGUGCCAGCAGCCGCGGUAAUACAGAGGGUGCUAGCGUUAAUCGGAUUUACUGGGCGUAAAGCGUGCGUAGGGGGUUUGAUAAGUCGGUUGUGAAAGCCCCGGGCUCAACCUGGGAAUUGCGGCCGAUACUGUCAGACUCGAAAACGGUAGAGGGAGGUGGAACUCCAGGUGUAGCGGUGAAAUGCGUAGAUAUCUGGAAGAACAUCGAUGGCGAAGGCAGCCUCCUGGGCCUGUUUUGACACUGAGGCACGAAAGCGUGGGUAGCAAACA